rnacentral:tRNA from 1 species
GAGCACCCGGCUGAUAACCGGGAGGUCGCAGGUUCAAAUCCUGCCUCGUCCA